CACGGAACAGAACCUGCCCAGCAUGAAAAUUUACCAUGAAUUACAACGCUCUGUAUUCUAUGUCCUUUAAGCCACUGUUAUAGCCAAGGGCAAGAAGUCUCCUCUAGACCAAUUUCUUUUGGUUUGAACACUAACCUAUUGUGUGGAACUGUAUCAAACGUUUCGGUAAAUACAAGGAAAUCACACCCACUGCAACACCCCGAUCUAUACUUCUACUUACUUCUUCGCAGAAGGCAAUUAGGGUUAGUUUGACGAACUAUGUUUGCUAAAA